CUCUCACACACACACACACACACACGGAGACAAAGUUGUGUGUGCCACUGCAGUGUGUUUCAGAGUCCUUUCUGUUAAAACAUAAAGACGCCACACACAUUAUGUUAUUAUGAGAAUGCACGGGCUGCUUAAGCAUCACACGCUCCACACGACUCUAGCCUCCACCUUUUCACGCCCAUCAUCACCGUCUUUAUGCAUUUCUUUCAUUAUGGAAACAGAAUGCAGUUCGCUGAUUGUGUGCGCCGUUUGAUCGAAGGCUGCAGUAUGUCAAAUGGGAAGCGUAAUUUGGCUCCCGCGUGCUGUAUGGUCCAUUUGAAGAAUAAAAUGAUCGUCUCUUUUUUCCAGGGAUCCCUGGAGAGACAUUCAGCGGCCUCACAGCACGUGGCUUACUGUAGGUCAGAACUUGACCCAUGUUACUUCGCCUGCGGCUUGAGAGGAUGGGUAGCCUUAGGGGUUGGUUGUUAUCUUUGGUUAUCUAGCUGUAUGAGUGAUGUACAUUCUUCAUAAAGCUAGAUAACCGAAAGUAACAAGAAUCCCAUUACGCUCCUGAAAAGGCAUCAAGACCCCAAAAAAACGCGCCUCCAUCCAAAAGAGAAAAAAAGACAAAAACAAAAAAACAAACUCCGCCUCAAGAAGUGCAACACGAGAGAAGACAAUGGACGACGUUUAAAAGGAGAUGGGAGCAGAAAGCAGCAAAAGGCUACCACCACGCCACCACACCACUGAAGGAGAGCUGGCAAAGGGAGACUGAAAAACAGAGAAGAAGGAGGAGGAGGGGUUGCUGUUGAUUCUGCCCUCCCUCUCUCUCUCUCCUCGCCCUCCUCUGCAUCGCCUCUUCCCUCCUCCUCCUCCUCCUCCUCCUCCCUUCCUCCUCCGCUCCAUCCUCAGCAGACUGCCCCUUUUUCCUGUACAGCGAGACGCAGCCCGCGCCACCAUCUUAGAGUAACGCUGGCAUGAAAUGGAAGUGGGAAGACCAGUCAGUGCAGGUGAAUAUCGUCGACGCACAAAGGGGCGGGGGCGAUCUAAAAUUUCCAGAUGGCACAAUGGAGGUGAUGUCGGACUCCUCCUCCUCCAUCGGAGGCUUGUUUUUUUGCCAGGACUAAACAAGGACGACGACGCAGACGCCCGCGUGGUUCCUCCUGCCCUGACUUUGGAACGUCGCUGCGACGUUUGUGCCACUUCGUCGCCGCUGUGUGAUGCAUUAUGUGACCCAGCAGUCGAGCGGGACUGGUUGUAGCAGAGUGAACAUCACAAUGGACUGCGGCCGAGGGAAACAAGGCUCAGACAGAAGAUUGGCAGCUGGACGAAGUUCUCUAAAAUUGUGACUUUUCAUAUUUUUGAGGCUCAAUUCUGUAAUUAUUCUUCUUAUAUAUCUGCCUGUAAACAGUGUUACUUAGACGUGAAGCAGUGUGUCUUCAUCUAACAUAGACCUGACUGACUGUAGGUCAUAUUUAAUGAAGUUUAGUUUGAUUUCUGUUUUGUUAUAGUUGCUAGGACUCAAAGACACGUGAAUGUGAGACCCACGGCAGCAGUGAAUAAUACUGCACUGCGAUUGGACAGCUCCGUGUGUCAGCUGACACAAUGGUGAAGGAGUGAGCUGUCGUCUUUAUACUCUAUGCAACUGUUUUAUCUUUUUUUUUUAUUAUUUGGUUCCUUUUUACCCCGUCGAGCAGAGCCCCCCCGUUCUCAUCCUGGAUUUUCUUUUAUUUUUCUGGGCUACCAGUUUAUAGACAUUCCUUCAGACAUCAUCAAGAGAAAUGGUUUUUCUGAGGAGCCUGCCUUCCCGUUGUUAAUAUACUGAUACAGAAAUUACAGCCAGAGUGUGUCUCUGUGUCUCUGUGUGUGUGUGUGUGUGAGAUGGAUGACAGAAUACAGCUCAGUUUCAUAUGUAUUGAAUCUCAUAUUUGCAGCCUUAACAGACUUUGAUUUGACUGUGCCAGCCACGAGCCACAGCGCUGAGUAAAUGUGCACUCGCACGUUUAAUAUUCCUGAUGGCAGGAGUGUGUUUGAUCAGCAGGAAGUAGCUGAGCGGGGCUCGGGGCUCGUGCGCCCGCGUACACAGAACACACGCCGCACUAUUAAAACCUUCUUCCCAGCAGGCUUUGAGCAGUUUGGUUUCAUAGCAGUUACCUGCUUUGGCUGUAAUGAUACGUCUUUGGGUGAGACAUGACAAAUACAUUGGCUUCAAACACUGCCUUAAUUUCCUGUCCUUGACAUUAACACACA